GCCUGACUAGCUCAGUUGGUAGAGCAUGAGACUCUUAAUCUCAGUGUCCUGGAUUCGAGCCCCAUGUUGAGUG
rnacentral:tRNA from 1 species